AAAUCCGUCGAUUUCAAAAAUCAUGAGGGUUCAAGU
rnacentral:tRNA from 1 species